AAUAACUCAAUUCCUGAGUUUCCGUGUCCAACAUUUGACCAUUCGUCUUAUUUGAAAAAAUUAUGAAAAAAUUUAAAAAGAUAAAUCACGUAUAAAGUAUUAUUUAUGUUUUAUCAUUUAACAACAAUGAAAAUACUAAUCAUAAAAAAGUUUCAUAUAAGACGGAUAGUCAAACGUAGGACACGAAAACCCAGGAAUUGAGUCUUU
rfam:Oryza sativa Japonica Group DNA, chromosome 2, cultivar: Nipponbare, complete sequence.